rnacentral:rRNA from 1 species
CCUACGGGGGGCAGCAGUGGGGAAUAUUACACAAUGGGGGAACCCUUGAUCCACCACCGCCGGGGGAAGGAAAAAGGUUUUGGGUUCGAAAACUUCUAUCAGCGGGGAAGAAGAAAGGAACGGUACCUGACUAGAAAGCCCCGGCUAACUACGGGCCAGCAGCCGCGGUAAUACGUAGGGGGCAAGCGUUACCCGGAAUCACGGGGUGUAAAGGGUGCGUAGGCGGUAGGGCAAGUCAGAUGUGAAAGCCCGGGGCUCAACCCCGGGACUGCAUUUGAAACUGUCUUACUAGAGUGCAGGAGAGGAAAGCGGAAUUCCUAGUGUAGCGGUGAAAUGCGUAGAUAUUAGGAAGAACACCAGUGGCGAAGGCGGCUUUCUGGACUGUAACUGACGCUGAGGCACGAAAGCGUGGGGAGCGAACAGGAUUAGAUACCCGUGUAGUC